rnacentral:rRNA from 1 species
AGUGAACGCUGGCGGUAGGCCUAACACAUGCAAGUCGAACGGCAGCACAGUAAGAGCUUGCUCUUACGGGUGGCGAGUGGCGGACGGGUGAGGCAUACAUCGGACUCUACUUUUUCGUGGGGGAUAACGUAGGGAAACUUACGCUAAUACCGCAUACGCCCUACCGGUGACAGCAGGGGAUCUUCGCACCUUGCGCGAUUGAACGAGCCGCUGUCGGACUAGCUAGUUGGCGGGGUAAAGGCCCACCCAGCCGACGAUCCGUAGCUGGUCUGAGAGGAUGAUCGGCCACACGGGAACUGAGACACGGUCCAGAGGCCUACGGGAGGCAGCAGUGGGGAAUAUUGGGCAAUGGGCGCAAGCCUGAUCCAGCCAUACCGCGUGGGUGAAGAAGGCCUUCGGGUUGUAAAGCCCUUUUGUUGGGAAAGAAAAGCAGCAGGUUAAUACCCCGCUGUUCUGACGGUACCCAAAGAAUAAGCACCGGCUAACUUCGUG